CUCUGUGACUCCUACGGGAGGCAGCAGUGGGGAAUAUUGCACAAUGGGGGAAACCCUGAUGCAGCCAUGCCGCGGUGUGUGAAGAAGGCCUUCGGGUUGUAAAGCACUUUCAGUAGGGAGGAAGGGUAUGUAGUUAACACCUGACACUACUUUGACGUUACCUACAGAAGAAGCACCGGCUAACUCCGUGCCAGCAGCCGCGGUAAUACGGAGGGUGCGAGCGUUAAUCGGAAUUACUGGGCGUAAAGCGCAUGCAGGCGGCCUGUUAAGUCAGAUCGUGAAAGCCCCGGGGCUUAACCUCGGAAUUGCAUUUGAAACUGGCAGGCUAGAGUCUUGUAGAGGGGGUAGAAUUUCAGGUGUAGCGGUGAAAUGCGUAGAGAUCUGAAGGAAUACCAGUGGCGAAGGCGGCCCCCUGGACAAAGACUGACGCUCAGAUCGCGAAAGCGUGGGGAGCAAACAGGAUUAGAUACCCUGUAG
rnacentral:rRNA from 1 species